rnacentral:rRNA from 1 species
GUGAAUGCCUUGGCGUAUAGAGGCGAUGAAGGACGUGACAGGCUGCGAUAAGCCACGGGGAACUGCCAGUAAGUUUUGAUCCGUGGACUUCCGAAUGGGGAAACCCACCCUUUUAGGGUAUCCUAAAGUGAAUACAUAGCUUUAGGAGGCGAACCCGGCGAACUGAAACAUCUAAGUAGCCGGAGGAAAAGACAUCAACAGAGAUUCCCCUAGUAGCGGCGAGCGAACGGGGACCAGGCCAGUACUAUUCUUUGACUUACCAGAACAUGUUGGAAAGCAUGACCAUAGUGGGUGACAGUCCUGUAUGGGAAAGGAAAGAGAAUAGUCUCGAGUAGGGCGGAACACGUGAAAUUCUGUCUGAACAUGGGAGGACCACCUUCCAAGCCUAAAUACUACUAUACGACCGAUAGUGAACCAGUACCGUGAGGGAAAGGUGAAAAGUACCCCGAUGAGGGGAGUGAAAAAGAUCCUGAAACCGAAUGCCUACAAGCUGUCGGAGCACCCAUUGUGGUGUGACGGCGUACCUUUUGUAUAAUGGGUCAGUGAGUUAGUGUAUCGUGCAAGCUUAAGCCGUUAGGUGUAGGCGUAGCGAAAGCGAGUCUGAAUAGGGCGUAUAGUUAGUGGGGGUAGACGCGAAACCCGGUGAUCUACCCAUGACCAGGUUGAAGUUGCAGUAACAUGCAAUGGAGGUCCGAACCAGUUGA